UCAAGUUUUUAAGAGCACACGGUGGAUGCCUUGGCAUCAGGAGCCGAUGAAGGACGUGGGAGCCUGCGAUAUGCCCCGGGGAGUUGGCAACCGAGCGUUGAUCCGGGGGUUUCCGAAUGGGGAAACCUAGCACCCGUCAUGGGGUGUUGCCGCCACCUGAAUGUAUAGGGUGGUUGGUGGUAACGCGGGGAAGUGAAACAUCUCAGUACCCGUAGGAAGAGAAAACAACAUGUGAUUCCCUGAGUAGUGGUGAGCGAAAGGGGAUCAGGCUAAACCAUGCGCGUGUGAUAGCCGGCGGGCGUUGCGUGUGUGGGGUUGUGGGAGCAUUCUUGUCUGGUCCGCUGACUGGGCGUGGAGUAAGAAAACAAUGAGGUAGUCGAACGAUCUGGAAUGGUCGACCGUAGUCGGUGAUAGUCCGGUAGGUGAAACCUUGUUGUCUCCAUUGGGUGUUUCCCGAGUAGCACGGGGCUCGUGAAAUCUCGUGUGAAUCUGCCAGGACCACCUGGUAAGCCUAAAUACUUCCUGGUGACCGAUAGCGGACUAGUACCGUGAGGGAAAGGUGAAAAGUGCCCCGGUGAGGGGUCGUGAAAGAGUACCUGAAACCGUGUGCUUACAAGCCGUCAGAGCCUUGCAUUCCUUGUGGGUGUUGGGGUGAUGGCGUGCCUUUUGAAGAAUGAGCCUGCGAGUUAUGGUGUGUGGCGAGGUUAACCCGUGUGGGGGAGCCGUAGCGAAAGCGAGUCUGAAUAGGGCGUUUGAGUCGCAUGCUGUAGACCCGAAGCGGAGUGAUCUACCCAUGGGCAGGUUGAAGCGCGGGUAAGACCGUGUGGAGGACCGAACCCACCAGGGUUGAAAACCUGGGGGAUGACCUGUGGGUAGGGGUGAAAGGCCAAUCAAACUCCGUGAUAGCUGGUUCUCCCCGAAAUGCAUUUAGGUGCAGCGUCACGUGUUUCUUGCCGGAGGUAGAGCUACUGGAUGGCCUAGGGGGCCGACAAGCUUACUGAAGUCAGCCAAACUCCGAAUGCCGGUAAGUGAGAGCGUGGCAGUGAGACUGCGGGCGAUAAGGUUCGUAGUCGAGAGGGAAACAGCCCAGAUCAUCGGCUAAGGCCCCUAAGCGUGUGCUAAGUGGUAAAGGAUGUGGAGUUGCCGUGACAACCAGGAGGUUGGCUUAGAAGCAGCCACCCUUGAAAGAGUGCGUAAUAGCUCACUGGUCAAGUGAUUCCGCGCCGACAAUGUAGCGGGGCUCAAGCACACCGCCGAAGCCGUGGCAUCCC
rnacentral:rRNA from 1 species